rnacentral:rRNA from 1 species
GCGUGAGUGAUGAAGGUUUUCGGAUCGUAAAGCUCUGUUGUUAGGGAAGAACAAGUACCGUUCGAAUAGGGCGGUACCUUGACGGUACCUAACCAGAAAGCCACGGCUAACUACGUGCCAGCAGCCGCGGUAAUACGUAGGUGGCAAGCGUUGUCCGGAAUUAUUGGGCGUAAAGGGCUCGCAGGCGGUUUCUUAAGUCUGAUGUGAAAGCCCCCGGCUCAACCGGGGAGGGUCAUUGGAAACUGGGGAACUUGAGUGCAGAAGAGGAGAGUGGAAUUCCACGUGUAGCGGUGAAAUGCGUAGAGAUGUGGAGGAACACCAGUGGCGAAGGCGACUCUCUGGUCUGUAACUGACGCUGAGGAGCGAAAGCGUGGGGAGCGAACAGGAUUAGAUACCCUGGUAGUCCACGCCGUAAACGAUGAGUGCUAAGUGUUAGGGGGUUUCCGCCCCUUAGUGCUGCAGCUAACGCAUUAAGCACUCCGCCUGGGGAGUACGGUCGCAAGACUGAAACUCAAAGGAAUUGACGGGGGCCCGCACAAGCGGUGGAGCAUGUGGUUUAAUUCGA